UAGUCCACGCCCUAAACGAUGCUAACUCGAUGUUUGUAUUUAUAUGAGCGUCCAAGGGAAACCGUUAAGUUAGCCACCUGGGGAGUACGUUCGCAAGAAUGAAACUCAAAGGAAUUGACGGGGUCCGCACAAGCGGUGGAGCAUGUGGUUUAAUUCGAUGAUACGCGAGGAACCUUACCUAGGCUCGAACACUAUUGGACAGCUGCUGAAAGGCGGUUUCCCUUCGGGGCUGAUAGUGAGGUGCUGCAUGGUUGUCGUCAGCUCGUGCCGUGAGGUGUUGGCUUAAGUGCCGCAACGAGCGCAACCCCUAUCCUUAGUUGCCAGCGAGUAAUGUCGGGGACUCUAAGGAGACUGCCUGUGUAAGCAGAGAGGAAGGAGGGGAUGACGUCAAAUCAUCAUGGGCCUUUAUGCCCAGGGGCGACACACGUGCUACAAUGGUAUGGGACAAAGGGGUAGCGAGCCAGUGAUGGGUAAGCCAAUCCCAAAAAACC
rnacentral:rRNA from 1 species